rnacentral:ncRNA from 1 species
ACGCGCGGGAGAGAGCCGGCUUGGACCGGCCGCCGAAGGAGCAACCGCCCCGGAAACUCUCAGGCACCCGGACCGCACGUCGUUC